AUUGAACGCUGGCGGCAUGCCUUACACAUGCAAGUCGAACGGCAGCACGGAGCUUGCUCUGGUGGCGAGUGGCGAACGGGUGAGUAAUAUAUCGGAACGUACCCUAGAGUGGGGGAUAACGUAGCGAAAGUUACGCUAAUACCGCAUACGAUCUAAGGAUGAAAGUGGGGGAUCGCAAGACCUCAUGCUCGUGGAGCGGCCGAUAUCUGAUUAGCUAGUUGGUAGGGUAAAAGCCUACCAAGGCAUCGAUCAGUAGCUGGUCUGAGAGGACGACCAGCCACACUGGAACUGAAACACGGUCCAGACUCCUACGGGAGGCAGCAGUGGGGAAUUUUGGACAAUGGGCGAAAGCCUGAUCCAGCAAUGCCGCGUGAGUGAAGAAGGCCUUCGGGUUGUAAAGCUCUUUUGUCAGGGAAGAAACGGUGAGAGCUAAUAUCUCUUGCUAAUGACGGUACCUGAAGAAUAAGCACCGGCUAACUACGUGCCAGCAGCCGCGGUAAUACGUAGGGUGCAAGCGUUAAUCGGAAUUACUGGGCGUAAAGCGUGCGCAGGCGGUUUUGUAAGUCUGAUGUGAAAUCCCCGGGCUCAACCUGGGAAUUGCAUUGGAGACUGCAAGGCUAGAAUCUGGCAGAGGGGGGUAGAAUUCCACGUGUAGCAGUGAAAUGCGUAGAUAUGUGGAGGAACACCGAUGGCGAAGGCAGCCCCCUGGGUCAAGAUUGACGCUCAUGCACGAAAGCGUGGGGAGCAAACAGGAUUAGAUACCCUGGUAGUCCACGCCCUAAACGAUGUCUACUAGUUGUCGGGUCUUAAUUGACUUGGUAACGCGGCUAACGCGUGAAGUAGACCGCCUGGGGAGUACGGUCGCAAGAUUAAAACUCAAAGGAAUUGACGGGGACCCGCACAAGCGGUGGAUGAUGUGGAUUAAUUCGAUGCAACGCGAAAAACCUUACCUACCCUUGACAUGGCUGGAAUCCCCGAGAGAUUGGGGAGUGCUCGAAAGAGAACCAGUACACAGGUGCUGCAUGGCUGUCGUCAGCUCGUGUCGUGAGAUGUUGGGUUAAGUCCCGCAACGGGCGCAACCCUUGUCAUUAGUUGCUACGAAAGGGCACUCUAAUGAGACUGCCGGUGACAAACCGGAGGAAGGUGGGGAUGACGUCAAGUCCUCAUGGCCCUUAUGGGUAGGGCUUCACACGUCAUACAAUGGUACAUACAGAGCGCCGCCAACCCGCGAGGGGGAGCUAAUCGCAGAAAGUGUAUCGUAGUCCGGAUUGUAGUCUGCAACUCGACUGCAUGAAGUUGGAAUCGCUAGUAAUCGCGGAUCAGCAUGUCGCGGUGAAUACGUUCCCGGGUCU
rnacentral:rRNA from 1 species